ensembl:lncRNA novel transcript, antisense to RNF144A
AGUGGGGAAGGACAACCCCCUAGCUGUCCAAUGGCUCCUGGAGCCAGAGAGAUGGCACCCAGCAUGCUGCAGUCUAGCCUCUCCCACUGACCACCUGAGCCUGCUGAAGCUGGCUUAUAUAAGGCUUUGGAAAGAGAAAGGGCUUUGGUGACUCUCUGGAAAUCAGGAAAAACUGUUCCAAGAUGUGUGUUAGAGAAGGUCAGGAUCUCGUGUUUAAUAAGCAGUUUUAGGCCUGACUUCUCUAAGGACAGUGUGUAUGGGCCUGUUUUCCCCCAGUACAUAGGGUCAGAGUCCUGCCAGCAAUAGCCAAAACAUGGUAGAAUCAGUCAAGAGAUCUAACAAAAGUGCUCUUGGAGGAAGAACUUCAGAGAAAGAAGCAAAUUUUAUGCUGAGAAAUCAUGAUUCCACACUCUGGAGUGAGAACUCUAGAUAGUUUACUCUGUGGUCACUUACUCGUAUUUCUACAUAGAUGGAAGGUCUCGGCCCUGGAGUUCUGGUCUACCUUUCUGCUCCUUUUUCUCCAAGGAACAGGUGGGGGUUCCUCAUAAGUGCCAGACCAGCU